UACGUAGGGGGCUAGCGUUGUCCGGAAUCAUUGGGCGUAAAGCGCGCGUAGGCGGCCCGGUAAGUCCGCUGUAAAAGUCAAAGGCUCAACCUUUGAAUGUCAGUGGAUACUGCCGGGCUAGAGUCCGGAAGAGGCGAGUGGAACUCCUGGUGUAGCGGUGGAAUGCGCAGAUAUCAGGAAGAACACCGACGGCGAAGGCAGCUCGCUGGGACGGUACUGACGCUGAGGCGCGAAAGCUAGGGGAGCAAACAGG
rnacentral:rRNA from 1 species